CGGGUUGGUUCAUGCCAUUGAUAUCUGAGCACCUGAAAGUUGAAUGGAAAAGGAAACUAUAGAGGAGCAUCAAAGUAUUGGGACCAACAAGCAUAAUAUUAUGACAUGAUGUGAGAUAUAUGCAAUGGCUGGUUGUGAAAAGAGGGAAAAAUUAUGAAGUUAAUGAGAAUGAAAAGACCAUGACAAAAUGCAUCUCAUUAAUGUUCACUUAAAUGAUAAAGAGCAAAUCAUAAGCUCUAGCAAAAGAAUCC
rnacentral:lncRNA from 1 species